GUGAAGAACGUAGCGAAAUGCGAUACUUGGUGUGAAUUGCAGAAUCCCGUGAACCAUCGAGUCUUUGAACGCAAGUUGCGCCCGAAGCCAUUAGGCCGAGGGCACGCCUGCCUGGGUGUCACACGUCGUUGCCCCCCCAUCUACUCCUUCGGGAUUGCGGGGGGCGGAUGAUGGCCUCCCGUGCGCCUCGUCGCGCGGUUGGCAUAAAUGCCAAGUCCUCGGCGACGCACGCCACGACAAUCGGUGGUUGCGAAACCUCGGUUGCCCGUCGUGUGCGGUCGUCGCGCAUCGAGGGCUCGAAAAAAUUGCCGGGCUCCGGCUCGGCUUUCAACGCGACCCCAGGUCAGGCGGGGUUACCCGCUGAAUUUAAGCAUAUCAAUAAGCGGAGGA
rnacentral:misc_RNA from 1 species